CCGCAUUUUAUGCGUUCAUAUCCGUCGCAAGCGCGGUCAAUUUUUAGUAGUAUGGACCUAGUGCCGUCGCUAUAAUUGAUCAGCUGUUGGUUGUACGGUAUUCUAGAACUGGCUUAACAUAUUAAUAUCGGUCUGCGAUGCUACUGCUUUGGGUACUUUCAGGACCCGUCUUGAAACACGGACCAAGGAGUCUAACAUGUACGCGAGUCAUUGGGAUUUUUUUAUAAAUUAAACCUAAAGGCGUAAUGAAAGUAAAGGUCGUUCUUGUAACGAUUGAGGGAGGAUGAGUUGUGUUAAAAUACAGCUUCGCACUCCCGGGGCGUCUCAUUCUUAUUACAAGAAGAGGCGCACCUAGAGCGUACACGUUGGGACCCGAAAGAUGGUGAACUAUG